rnacentral:rRNA from 1 species
AUGAGCAUCAAGUUCAUGGCCAGAUACUUCACCGGACAGCAAGGUGGGCGGGUUCUUGGCGUGCAGUGUCAGUUCAGGUACGGAACGACCAACUUCUACCACGCCCAGCCCAUGCGGCAAAUUCGCUGGAAGGGUGCUGCUGUUCCACCACCAACGCCCUCCGUUGUGCCCAGCCAGACGCACAAGGUGCGUUUGGGCAAGGCGGUUUUGGUUACUGUCACCCUUAUUCCUAUGAUGGCUUUGCUUGUUUGCUCCAUCUCUUGUUUUGCGUGGAACAAGAGGCACAGAAAAGGUAAAGCGAGAUUUCACGACAAGGCUAAUAUGAAUGUCCAUGAAGAAGUAUUAGCUCUGGGAUUAGAAGGAAGGAAUUCCGAAUUCUCAUUCUUUGACUUUUCAGAAGUAUCAAAUGCUACAAGUAACUUUUCAGAUGAAAGUAAACUGGGGCAAGGUGGCUUUGGUCCUGUGUACAAGGGUCAGUUUCCUGAUGGGUCAGAGGUAGCUGUUAAGAGACUUGCUUCACAUUCUGGGCAAGGUCUUAUAGAGUUCCAAAAUGAAGUCAGACUCAUAGCCAAGCUUCAACACACGAAUUUGGUUAGACUAUUGGGAUGUUGCAUACAAGGAGAGGAGAAAAUACUGAUAUAUGAGUAUUUGCCAAACAGGAGCCUGGACUUCUUUAUCUUUGACCAAGCACGAAGAGCUUUACUUGAUUGGAACAAACGGCUAGCGAUAAUUGAAGGCAUAGCACAAGGAAUUCUGUAUCUGCAUAAGCACUCUCGGUUGCGAGUCAUACAUAGAGACCUUAAAGCAAGCAACAUUCUCUUGGACUGUGAUAUGAAUCCUAAAAUUUCUGAUUUUGGGCUUGCAAAAAUAUUCGGCUCAAAUGAUACUGAAGGAAACACAAAAAGGAUUGCUGGGACAUAUGGCUAUAUGGCUCCGGAGUAUGCUUCGGAGGGCAUUUUCUCAAUCAAAUCAGAUGUAUUCAGUUUUGGUGUGCUAAUUAUUGAAAUCGUCAGCGGAACAAGAAACUCUGGUUUCCAUCAGUUUGGCAACUUCUUCAACCUUCUUGGAUAUGCAUGGAAGUUGUGGAAAGAGGAAAGGUGGCUUGAACUCAUAGAUGCAUCCUUACCUCCGGAGGUUCAUGCAUUAGAGAUGAUGAGAUGUGUUAAAAUUGCAUUGUUGUGUGUGCAAGAGAAGGCAGUUGAUCGCCCCACCAUGUCAGACGUCGUUGCCAUGCUAAGCAACGAUACUAUGACCCUACCUGAUCCAAAGCAUCCAGCAUAUUUCCACGUAGAAGUAAGAAGUGAUCAGGGGUCAAAAGUUGAUGCUGAGCCACCUAGUGUUAAUGGUGUCACAGUAUCUGUCCUAAAUGGCAGGUAG